GUAAUCUCUGGGCCGCGUGGCUGGUCCCUUUAAGGGCCCUCCACUACCAGACGCGCGGGUCUCCCCCCUGGGGGUGGUAUCCAAAGAGGAGCAGGGAAAGUACCGUCUGAUUCACCAUUUGUCAUCCCUCCAGGGGGUGUUCGGUGACUGAUGACAUCUCUUCGGUACUCUGCCGAGUAUCUUAUGUGUCUUGACGUGGCGGCUGACAUGGUGAGGG